AGUAACCUUAAGCUGUAGAUGUAACAGGACUAAAUUGAAAAAGUUUUUAAUAACAAAGCAACUAGUGGACUUGUGUGAUAAUGGUGAUUUUUAAAUUGAGAAAGGCAUUAUUUUCUACCAACAGUUGAGACGGCAGAGCCUGAUGGGUACAGCAAACUUCCAGCUGGGCGGGAGAGUAUAGCGGAUGGCAGCGCGACCGAUUGCAGGCGCUAGGACUGAGUCCAGUGGCUACACAUCGACAGCGACUACUACUUCACAUCAGUUGCAGUCAGCACGCUCAGCAGCAGACUCCCCAGCGAUACCAACAAAGUUCAAUGUUAUUGUUGUGGGUCAAGUGGCCAAGUUAAUAAAGAGUGUCGUUUUUGUGGA